AACAAGUCCAAAAAAGAAAAAUCCUGUGACCUGAGGCCUCCAGAAGCUGCCACCACCACUACUACUCACCCCCACUCUUGGUUCCUUGGCCCAUUCCUGGUUUGCUACCAUGAAACAGAUGCUGGGAUUGGAGUCAGAGCCAGGCUGUUUUGGUGUGACCUUCACCAGGACUGCAUGCUGGACUUCCACCUGAUGCCGCAGAGCUUUCCUGCUGAUCUUCUGAGUUGUCUUUGGCUGGAAGCAUGAUUUAUCAGCUGAUAACUUCUCCGGAAAGAAAAGUCUGGGUGACAAGAGCAAAGGGAGCUACAGGUGGGAAGGCAACAAACAUUUUAAAGAAUGUACUAUAUGCUGUGAACUGUGCCAAGUACAUUCCUGAUAUUAUUUAAUUUUAUUCUUACAAUACCCUGAAAAGUAAAUACCAUUAGUCUCCUUAUUUUUUUAGUUAAGGAAACUG